CAAUAGCGUAUAUUAAAGUUGUUGCAGUUAAAAAGCUCGUAGUUGGACCUUGGACCUGGACAGGCGGUCCGCCUCACGGCGUGUACUGUCUUGCUGGGUCUUUCCUCUUGGUGAUCUGUUGUUUCGGCAGCAGGGAACCAGGACUUUUACUUUGAAAAAAUUAGAGUGUUCAAAGCAGGCUCGACGCCGGAAUAUAUUAGCAUGGAAUAAUAAAAUAGGACGUGCGGUUCUAUUUUGUUGGUUUUGGAAUCGCCGUAAUGAUUAAUAGGGACAGUCGGGGGCAUUAGUACUCACAUGCUAGAGGUGAAAUUCUUGGAUUUUGUGAAGACUAACUUCUGCGAAAGCAUUUGCCAAGGAUGUUUUCAUUAA
rnacentral:rRNA from 1 species